AGCGAACGCUGGCGGCAGGCCUAACACAUGCAAGUCGAACGGAUCCCUCGGGAUUAGUGGCGGACGGGUGAGUAACACGUGGGAACGUGCCUUUUGGUUCGGAACAACUCAGGGAAACUUGAGCUAAUACCGGAUAAGCCUUUCGAGGGAAAGAUUUAUCGCCAUUAGAGCGGCCCGCGUAGGAUUAGCUAGUUGGUGGGGUAAAGGCCCACCAAGGCUACGAUCCUUAGCUGGUCUGAGAGGAUGAUCAGCCACAUUGGGACUGAGACACGGCCCAAACUCCUACGGGAGGCAGCAGUGGGGAAUCUUGCGCAAUGGGCGAAAGCCUGACGCAGCCAUGCCGCGUGAAUGAUGAAGGUCUUAGGAUUGUAAAAUUCUUUCACCGGGGACGAUAAUGACGGUACCCGGAGAAGAAGCCCCGGCUAACUUCGUGCCAGCAGCCGCGGUAAUACGAAGGGGGCUAGCGUUGCUCGGAAUUACUGGGCGUAAAGGGAGCGUAGGCGGAUAGUUUAGUCAGAGGUGAAAGCCCAGGGCUCAACCUUGGAAUUGCCUUUGAUACUGGCUAUCUUGAGUACGGAAGAGGUAUGUGGAACUCCGAGUGUAGAGGUGAAAUUCGUAGAUAUUCGGAAGAACACCAGUGGCGAAGGCGACAUACUGGUCCGUUACUGACGCUGAGGCUCGAAAGCGUGGGGAGCAAACAGGAUUAGAUACCCUGGUAGUCC
rnacentral:rRNA from 1 species